CCUACGGGUGGCAGCAGCUAAGAAUAUUCCGCAAUGGACGAAAGUCUGACGGAGCGACGCCGCGUGGAUGAUGAAGGCCGAAAGGUUGUAAAAUCCUUUUGAACUGGAAGAAUAAGCAGUGUAGGUAAUGACAUUGUGGUGACGGUACAGUUUGAAUAAGCAACGGCUAAUUACGUGCCAGCAGCCGCGGUAACACGUAAGUUGCGAGCGUUGUUCGGAAUUAUUGGGCGUAAAGGGCAUGUAGGCGGUUAUCUAAGCUUGGUGUGAAAGGCAGGGGCUCAACUCCUGGACUGCAUUGAGAACUGGAUAACUAGAGUUACUGAAGUGAAAUCAGAAUUCCAGGUGUAGGGGUGAAAUCUGUAGAUAUCUGGAAGAAUACCAAUGGCGAAGGCAGGUUUCAGGCAGAUAACUGACGCUGAGGUGCGAAGGUGCGGGGAGCAAACAGGAUUAGAUACCCUGGUAGUC
rnacentral:rRNA from 1 species